GGCGGACAGAAGCAAGAUGGUGUCUGGAUAGACAGCAUGGUGCCCAGACUUGGUUACACUCAGAAACCACAAGACUUUGUAAAACCUAUUCGCCCUCAUACAAGGACAGUACCAGGAUUAGGGAUUCCUACUGGGAACGCGACCACUCCUUUGUCGUGUAUGUCUGUCAAGUGUUCGUCUAUGUUAGAUAUAUAAACAAUGACCGAACGGGACAGGCUAUCGUUUACCCCAACGCUUGGGCUAUCCCUCAACAAGAGAGAGAAGGACCAGAGCUCGCCAGGAACCCAGACUGGUGCUCCUGUUCAAGUCCUGCCUCCUAUGCAGCAAACCGAAUGCAGAUGAUCCAUAGAAGGUGGAGCAACACCCUAAAGCCCUCCAUCAUUUCUGCUGUCUACUGGUCCACUAUUGGAGUGUGAAAAAAAGAUACACGAGGAAAUGGAAGUAUGAAGAAGAACCAAAGUUCCUUGUGAAGACCAGGUGCAGAGACGGGAGAGAGGAAAGAAGGCCUUUGAAAGCCGCUCCAUUGUGUCCUCGUGAACUCGGGAAGCAUCUCUACAGCGAGGUGAGCAGGAACGCGUUGUGGAUCUCUUCCUUAUGGACUACAUUGAUCAAGGGACGGGUUCAAUCUUCGAGUGCAUUACCAUACGUUUCCUGUGACCACUUGCAGGCAGAUUUGUCAUCCCCCUUCUCAACUUGUAAAUUGCUUUGGACGUUGUUGUAUUGCUAUCAUGGGAUUGGUAGUAAAAAAGAGGAAUAAGCUUGGCCAUCUUCCAGUUUGGAGCGGCCCAUGCAGGUCCAGACAGGUGGCUGUGGUUUACUUGAGCUGUUAUAGAUUUGUACUUUAUUUAAUAAAUAAUGAUAGCCAGCCAAUUCAAUACACACACAUGCCUAUAGCACUGAUUGAGUUGUACAGAGUGGAGUGGUUCAUUUUCCUGACGACGUAGGUGUGAGAGAGAGAGAGGGAGAGAGGGAGAGAGA